rnacentral:RNase_P_RNA from 1 species
GUAUUAUCAUGAGGAAAGUCCGGGCUUCAUAGGGCAGGAUAACGGAUAACGUCCGCCGGAGGCGACUCCCGGGAAAGUGCAACAGAAAGAAACCGCCGCGCAAGCGGUAAGGAUGGAAAGGCGAGGUAAGAGCUCACCGACGUGCGGGUAACCGUGCGUGCCAUGUAAACCCUAUCCGAAGCAACACCCCGCAGAUUUUGGCUUGCCCGGCCGAGCAUGACUGCUCUAUGCGAGGUGGCAGCAGAGUUUCUCUGCGAGCCGUAUGGCAACAUACGGCAAAGAUAGAUGAUUGUUCUCGACAGAACCCGGCUUACAGGACGA